rnacentral:rRNA from 1 species
UAAUACCGCAUACGUCCUACGGGAGAAAGCAGGGGAUCUUCGGACCUUGCGCUAAUAGAUGAGCCUAAGUCGGAUUAGCUAGUUGGUGGGGUAAAGGCCUACCAAGGCGACGAUCUGUAGCGGGUCUGAGAGGAUGAUCCGCCACACUGGGACUGAGACACGGCCCAGACUCCUACGGGAGGCAGCAGUGGGGAAUAUUGGACAAUGGGCGCAAGCCUGAUCCAGCCAUGCCGCGUGUGUGAAGAAGGCCUUAUGGUUGUAAAGCACUUUAAGCGAGGAGGAGGCUACUGAAGUUAAUACCUUCAGAUAGUGGACGUUACUCGCAGAAUAAGCACCGGCUAACUCUGUGCCAGCAGCCGCGGUAAUACAGAG